rnacentral:rRNA from 1 species
UAUACAUCGGAACGUGUCCCGUAGUGGGGGAUAGCCCGGCGAAAGCCGGAUUAAUACCGCAUAUGCUCUACGGAGGAAAGUGGGGGACUCGCAAGGGCCUCACGCUAUGGGAGCGGCCGAUGUCCGAUUAGCUUGUUGGCGGGGUAAUGGCCCACCAAGGCGACGAUCGGUAGCUGGUCUGAGAGGAUGAUCAGCCACACUGGGACUGAGACACGGCCCAG